GACGUAGGGCGCGAGCGUUGUCCGGAUUUAUUGGGCGUAAAGAGCUCGUAGGCGGCUUGUUGCGUCGACUGUGAAAACCUGCGGCUCAACCGUGUGGUCUGCAGUCGAUACGGGCAGGCUGGAGUUCGGUAGGGGAGACUGGAAUUCCUGGUGUAGCGGUGAAAUGCGCAGAUAUUAGGAGGAACACCGGUGGCGAAGGCGCCACUCUGGGCCGAAACUGACGCUGAGGAGCGAAAGCAUGGGUAGCAAACAGG
rnacentral:rRNA from 1 species